rnacentral:sRNA from 1 species
UGUUGAACCUGAUGACCAGAUUCAGUCUGUGGUGCUGUCGCUUUACACUAUCUUAAUUCCUGUUACAACACAGUUCAGAAAGUCAUUGAAUCAUCAGAGAUGUUUUCAUUGCAAGAACAAAUGCUUUAAUACUUCACUAAAUGCUUGAGGUUUCCCAAAAUGUCAGCUAGUUUGUGUCUUACACGUUUGAAAGGAAUGAUGUUACAUUAGGCAGACAGUUUUGAAUUGAUGAUUUAGCUGUUUUGAAAUUUGAUUGUGUUGUUUGAGGGUGAAAAAUGUUCACAAUUGGCUGUGGAUGAACCACGUUUUUUAUUGCAGACAGCAUAAAUUCCAAACUCUUGCCAAGUAAAUGCACAUAUAAAGUAAACACAGAACUUCAUAAAUCUUGAACAGUUGUUGAUGUACUGUUAUGUAGAAUAUAUAAUGAGAGUGUAAAGUCAGUUGUUGAUGGCCACUUAUAAAACUUCACCGGUAGCCUAGCUUUGUGGAUUAGGUUGAUAGUUUGAAGUGGCGGUAUUACAAAACACACACACUAGGUCCUUCAUACAAGUGGCUAAAACAAAGAGCUUUUCUCCUGGCAGGUUUAUCUAUGUACAAUUUUAAUGUGUGCGAGUGUAUUGGCAACUCAGGGUUUGAAAAAUCAUUAUACCUGAAAGAAUAAACAAGGCUCUCAUUUAAGAAUGGUUUUGUUUCCUCUCAUCCUAGAUUUUGAAGUUGAGUUAUGUAGCUAUAAUUUUUUGGGCAUCAAUAUAUAAAAUUAUUAUACAUUUUGUACUAUGAUUUGAAAAUACACUGAGACAGAAGACCAUGUGUCUGGAUCUCAUUCAUCUUAUGAUCAACACUUUUAAAUCAAACACAUGUAUUAUUAGCUGAUUCUGAUGAAUAAAGAAAAAGAUUUAUGAAGAUUU